GAUCUGCUCAGGAUGAACGCUAGCGACAGGCUUAACACAUGCAAGUCGAGGGGCAGCACAGGUAGCAAUACCGGGUGGCGACCGGCGCACGGGUGAGUAACGCGUAUGCAACUUGCCUAUCAGAGGGGGAUAACCCGGCGAAAGUCGGACUAAUACCGCAUGAAGCAGGGGCCCCGCAUGGGGAUAUUUGCUAAAGAUUCAUCGCUGAUAGAUAGGCAUGCGUUCCA
rnacentral:rRNA from 1 species